rfam:Triticum aestivum genome assembly, contig: Triticum_aestivum_CS42_TGACv1_scaffold_212061_3AS
CAUAUACUCUCUCCGUCUUAAAAUUCUUGUCUUAUAUUCAUCUAGACAUGAAUGUAUCUAAUACUAAAACGUGACUUGAUACAUCCGUAUUUAAACAAAUUUAAGACAAGAAUUUUGAGAUGGAGGGAGUACUAG